GCCGAGGUAGCUCAACUGGUUGGAGCAGACGUUUCAUAAGCGUCAGGUUGUGGGUUCGAGCCCCACCCUCGGCA
rnacentral:tRNA from 1 species